AUUGAACGCUGGCGGCAGGCCUAACACAUGCAAGUCGAACGAGUGGCGGACGGGUGAGUAAUGUCUGGGAAACUGCCCGAUAGAGGGGGAUAACUACUGGAAACGGUCGCUAAUACCGCAUACUAUCGGAUGUGCCCAUAUGGGAUUAGCUAGUAGGUGGGGUAACGGCUCACCUAGGCGACGAUCCCUAGCUGGUCUUAGAGGAUGAUAAGCCACACUGGACCUGAGCAACGGUCCAGACUCCUACGGGAGGCAGCAGUGGGGAAUAUUGCACAAUGGGCGCAAGCCUGAUGAAGCCAGCCCGCGUGUAUGAAGAAGGCCUUCGGGUUGUAAAGUACUUUCAGCGAGGAGGCGUUACUCGCAGAAGAAGCACCGGCUAACUCCGUGCCAGCUGCCGCGGUAAUUG
rnacentral:rRNA from 1 species